rnacentral:rRNA from 1 species
UGAGGAAUAUUGGUCAAUGGACGCAAGUCUGAACCAGCCAUGCCGCGUGCAGGAUGACGGCCCUAUGAGUUGUAAACUGCUUUUAUAUAGGGGUAAACUCAGGUACGUGUACCUGACUGAAAGUACUAUACGAAUAAGGAUCGGCUAACUCCGUGCCAGCAGCCGCGGUAAUACGGAGGAUCCAAGCGUUAUCCGGAUUUAUUGGGUUUAAAGGGUGCGUAGGCGGCCCGGUAAGUUAGAGGUGAAAUCUCGUCGCUCAACGACGAACGUGCCUCUGAUACUGUCGGGCUAGCGAGAGAGUGCUGUGGGCGGAAUGUGUAGUGUAGCGGUGAAAUGCUUAGAGAUUACACAGAACACCGAUUGCGAAAGCAGCUCACAAACUCUUUUCGGACGCUGAGGCACGAAAGCGUGGGGAGCAAACAGG